rnacentral:rRNA from 1 species
CGUGCGUCCGCGGUAACCGUACGGGAACCCUAAAACCCGCCGCGGUCGCCCGAGUACCUUGUGCGCAACCUGCCUGUAGGACUGGGAUAACUCCGGGAAACCGGGGCUAAUACCGGAUAAUUCUUUCCCUCACCUGAGGAAAGGGUGAUAGAUGGUUUCGGCUAUCACUUACAGAUGGGCCCGCAGCGCAUUAGCUAGUUGGUGAGGUAACGGCUCACCAAGGCGACGAUGCGUAGCCGACCUGAGAGGGUGAUCGGCCACACUGGGACUGAGACACGGCCCAGACUCCUACGGGAGGCAGCAGUAGGGAAUCUUCCGCAAUGGACGAAAGUCUGACGGAGCAACGCCGCGUGAGUGAUGAAGGUUUUCGGAUCGUAAAACUCUGUUGUUAGGGAAGAACAAGUACCGGAGUAACUGCCGGUACCUUGACGGUACCUAACCAGAAAGCCACGGCUAACUACGUGCCAGCAGCCGCGGUAAUACGUAGGUGGCAAGCGUUGUCCGGAAUUAUUGGGCGUAAAGCGCGCGCAGGCGGUUCCUUAAGUCUGAUGUGAAAG